UUGUGCCAGCAGCCGCGGUAAUUCCAGCUCCAAUAGCGUAUAUUAAAGUUGUUGUGGUUAAAAAGCUCGUAGUUGAACCUUGGGCCUGGCUGGCCGGUCCGCCUCACCGCGUGCACUGGUCCGGCCGGGCCUUUCCCUCUGUGGAACCCCAUACCCUUCACUGGGCGUGGCGGGGAAACAGGACAUUUACUUUGAAAAAAUUAGAGUGCUCCAGGCAGGCCUAUGCUCGAAUACAUUAGCAUGGAAUAAUAAAAUAGGACGCGCGGUUCUAUUUUGUUGGUUUAUAGGACCGCCGUAAUGAUUAAUAGGGACAGUCGGGGGCAUCAGUAUUCAACUGUCAGAGGUGAAAUUCUUGGAUCAGUUGAAGACUAACUACUGCGAAAGCAUUUUGCCAAGGAUGUUUUCAUUAAUCAGGAACGAAAGUUAGGGGAUCGAAGACGAUCAGAUACCGUCGUAGUCUUAACCAUAAACUAUGCCGACUAGGGAUCGGACGGUGUUAUUCAUGACCCGUUCGGCACCUUACGAGAAAUCAAAGUGCUUGGGCUCCAGGGGGAGUAUGGUCGCAAGGCUGAAACUUAAAGAAAUUGACGGAAGGGCACCACCAGGGGUGAGCCUGCGGCUUAAUUUGACUCAACACGGGGAAACUCACCAGGUCCAGACACAAUAAGGAUUGACAGAUUGAGAGCUCUUUUCUUGAUUUUGUGGGUGGUGGUGCAUGGCCGUUCUUAGUGGUGGGGUGACUUGUCUGCUUAAUCGCGAUAACGAACGAGACCUUAACUGCUAAAUAGCCCGCAUGCUCGCAGUGCGCUGCUCUAGAGGGACUUCGCUCAGCGAGAAGUUGAGGCAAUAACAGUCUGUGAUGCCUUAGAGAUG
rnacentral:rRNA from 1 species